rnacentral:rRNA from 1 species
AUGUCUGAUUAUGUGUCGCGGGAUUAUAUAUUGGGGGCACUAGCUAGCAAAACAGUAAUUCUUGUAACCCAUCAAGUCGGGUUCAUACCAGCUGCUGACUUCAUACUGGAUGGUCAUAUCGCCCAAGAUGGAAAAUAUGAGGAUCUUCUCCAAGCUGGAACUGAGCUCAAUGCAUCAAGAACAAAAUCAAUUGAAGCAACACUUCGUGUAUAA